ACUAAGGGUUUAAGGAGAGUUAGCCUGCACUAAGGGUUUAAGGAGAGUUAGCCUGCACUAAGGGUUUAAGGAGAGUUAGCCUGCACUAAGGGUUUGAGGAGAGUUAGCCUGCACUAAGGGUUUAAGGAGAGUUAGCCUGCACUAAGGGUUUGAGGAGAGUUUGGAACUGAAUUCUGUUCUGCUGUUCCAGGGGAAGAGAUCUCCGGGUCAGAGGGCAGUGGAUCAGAAGAGAUGGAUGAAGGAGAUGACGAGGGAAGAGAGGGACGAAUGAAGCGGAGAGGCAGUGGAUCAGAAGAGAUGGAUGAAGGAGAUGACGAGGGAAGAGAGGGACGAAUGAAGCGGAGAGGUAAGGGGCCCCCGUUCUCCCUCUCUCUCAACAGGAGUGUGCUAAUAGUACUUUGGCUCCUUAUGAAGUUCACUAGGCUACUUUGAAGGGUACUAGUUCUCUGUGAAGGGCCCUUGGCUUCUGAACUGUACUGGGCUUUGGUUAGAAGGAGUCCACUUUAUAGGGAGCAGGAUGCUAUUUUGGAUGCCUCAGAGGAUUGUUCCCCAUGUCCCCUGAUGCUAUUUGGGAUGCAGCAGAGGACUGUUCCCCAGUCCCCUGAUGCUAUUUGGGAUGCAGCAGAGGACUGUUCCCCAGUCCCCUGAUGCUAUUUGGGAUGCCUCAGAGGACUGUUCCCCAGUCCCCUGAUGCUAUUUGGGAUGCCUCAGAGGACUGUUCCCCAGUCCCCUGAUGCUAUUUGGGAUGCAGCAGAGGACUGUUCCCCAGUCCCCUGAUGCUAUUUGGGAUGCAGCAGAGGACUGUUCCCCAGUCCCCUGAUGCUAUUUGGGAUGCCUCAGAGGACUGUUCCCCAGUCCCCUGAUGCUAUUUGGGAUGCAGCAGAGGACUGUUCCCCAGUCCCCUGAUGCUAUUUGGGAUGCCUCAGAGGACUGUUCCCCAGUCCCCUGAUGCUAUUUGGGAUGCAGCAGAGGACUGUUCCCCAGUCCCCUGAUGCUAUUUGGGAUGCAGCAGAGGACUGUUCCCCAGUCCCCUGAUGCUAUUUGGGAUGCCUCAGAGGACUGUUCCCCAGUCCCCUGAUGCUAUUUGGGAUGCCUCAGAGGACUGUUCCCCAGUCCCCUGAUGCUAUUUGGGAUGCAGAAGAG
rnacentral:lncRNA from 13 species